UUAAAAUGAUGACUUUAUAAAGACAAGCAUAUGGCUGACAUAUGUAAUGGAGAUAAAUAUUAACAUCUGAUUAG